rnacentral:rRNA from 1 species
AACGUAGGACGCAAGCGUUAUCCGGAUUUACUGGGCGUAAAGCGCGGGCAGGCGGUCGGUCAAGUCUGAUGUGAAAUCUCCUCGCUCAACGGGGAGCAGCCAUUGGAAACUGGGCGACUGGAGUCUGACAGAGGUAGGCGGAAUUCCGGGUGGAGUGGUGAAAUGCGUAGAGAUCCGGAGGAACACCAGAGGCGAAGGCGGCCUACUGGGUCAGUACUGACGCUGAGCCGCGAAAGCCAGGGGAGCGAACGGG